UAGAUUAAAGCCUAUAAUGGGUGUUUAGCUGUUAACUAAAAGGGUGUAGGAUAGAAGCCUUCUAAUCUAG
rnacentral:tRNA from 1 species